rnacentral:rRNA from 1 species
AACGCGAAGAACCUUACCAGGUCUUGACAUCGAGUGCAUAACCUAGAGAUAGGCGAAGCCCUUCGGGGCACUCAGACAGGUGGUGCAUGGUUGUCGUCAGCUCGUGUCGUGAGAUGUUGGGUUAAGUCCCGCAACGAGCGCAACCCUUGUUUUUAGUUGCUACGCAAGAGCACUCUAAAGAGACUGCCGUUGACAAAACGGAGGAAGGUGGGGAUGACGUCAAAUCAUCAUGCCCCUUAUGACCUGGGCUACACACGUACUACAAUGGCGAUCGAACAAAGGGCAGCAACACCGCGAGGUGAAGCGAAUCCCAAAAAAUCGUCUCAGUUCGGAUUGCAGGCUGCAACCCGCCUGCAUGAAGUCGGAAUUGCUAGUAAUCGCGGAUCAGCAUGCCGCGGUGAAUACGUUCCCGGGUCUUGUACACACCG